rnacentral:misc_RNA from 1 species
GUAGGUGAACCUGCGGAAGGAUCAUUAACUAUUAAGUGGUAGAACUAUUCUACCUAUAACCUUUGUGCAAUGAUUAAAGUGAAAUAGAUCUAGAAUGUAGGUAUUUAACGAUACCGACAGCCUAGAGAUAAAUCACGGAAAUCUUGGCCGAACAUAUGUAUACAGCAGUAAUGAUGUAUACAAGUGGACGGUCACACGCAGUAUGCGUGAAUAUAAACGUUAAAUAUAGAGUCUUAUUUAAAUAUAUAAUUUAAAAACAACUUUUAACAAUGGAUCUCUAGGCUCUU